rnacentral:rRNA from 1 species
GCGUGAAGUGAUGAAAGGCUUUCGGGUCGUAAAACUCUGUUGUUAGGGAAGAACAAGUGCUAGUUGAAUAAGCUGGCACCUUGACGGUACCUAACCAGAAAGCCACGGCUAACUACGUGCCAGCAGCCGCGGUAAUACGUAGGUGGCAAGCGUUAUCCGGAAUUAUUGGGCGUAAAGCGCGCGCAGGUGGUUUCUUAAGUCUGAUGUGAAAGCCCACGGCUCAACCGUGGAGGGUCAUUGGAAACUGGGAGACUUGAGUGCAGAAGAGGAAAGUGGAAUUCCAUGUGUAGCGGUGAAAUGCGUAGAGAUAUGGAGGAACACCAGUGGCGAAGGCGACUUUCUGGUCUGUAACUGACACUGAGGCGCGAAAGCGUGGGGAGCAAACAGGAUUAGAUACCCUGGUAGUCCACGCCGUAAACGAUGAGUGCUAAGUGUUAGAGGGUUUCCGCCCUUUAGUGCUGAAGUUAACGCAUUAAGCACUCCGCCUGGGGAGUACGGCCGCAAGGCUGAAACUCAAAUGAG